rnacentral:tRNA from 1 species
GGAGAGUUGUCCGAGUGGUUUAAGGAGUUUGGUUGCUAACCAAAUGUCCCUGCAGGGAUCGAAGGUUCGAAUCCUUCACUCUCCGCCA